UAAAGUGGCGACCGGGUGAGUAACACGUGACUAACCUACCUUCGAGUGGGGGAGUAACCUCGGGAAACCGAGGCUAAUACCGCAUAACAUCGCAAGAUCAAAGCAGCAAUGCGCUGGAAGAGGGGGUCGCGGCUGAUUAGCCAGUUGGCGGGGUAACGGCCCACCAAAGCGAAGAUCGGUAGCCGGCCUGAGAGGGCGCACGGCCACACUGGAACUGAAACACGGUCCAG
rnacentral:rRNA from 1 species